rnacentral:rRNA from 1 species
GGCGCGCCUAACACAUGCAAGUCGAACGGUUAAGGCGCCUUCGGGCGCAUAUAAAGUGGCGAACGGCUGAGUAACACGUGGGCAACCUGCCCCUCGCACCGGGACAGCCUCGGGAAACCGUGGAUGAUACCGGAUACUCCGCCUCCCCCACAUGGGGAGGGCGGGAAAGCCCAGACGGCGAGGGAUGGGCCCGCGGCCUGUUAGCUAGUUGGCGGGGCAGCGGCCCACCAAGGCGAUGAUGGGUAGCCGGGUUGAGAGACCGACCGGCCAGAUUGGGACUGAGACACGGCCCAGACUCCUACGGGAGGCAGCAGUGGGGAAUCUUGCACAAUGGGCGGAAGCCUGAUGCAGCGACGCCGCGUGCGGGACGAAGGCCUUCGGGCUGUAAACCGCUUUCAGCAGGGACGAGGCGAAAGUGACGGUACCCUGCAGAAGAAGCCCCGGCUAACUACGUGCCAGCAGCCGCGGUAAUACGUAGGGGGCAAGCGUUAUCCGGAUUCAUUGGGCGUAAAGCGCGCGUAGGCGGCCAGCCUGGUCGGGAGUCAAAUCCGGGGGCUCAACCCCCGUCCGCUCCCGAUACCGGCCGGCUUGAGUCUGGCAGGGGAAGGCGGAAUUCCCGGUGUAGCGGUGGAAUGCGCAGAUAUCGGGAAGAACACCGGUGGCGAAGGCGGCCUUCUGGGCCACGACUGACGCUGAGGCGCGAAAGCUAGGGGAGCGAACAGGAUUAGAUACCCUGGUAGUCCUAGCCGUAAACGAUGGGCACUAGGUGUGGGGGGAUCUGCCCUCCGUGCCGCAGCCAACGCAUUAAGUGCCCCGCCUGGGGAGUACGGCCGCAAGGCUAAAACUCAAAGGAAUUGACGGGGGCCCGCACAAGCGGUGGAGUAUGUGGUUUAAUUCGACGCAACGCGAAGAACCUUACCAGGCCUUGACAUCCCUUGCAAAGCUGUAGAGAUACAGUGGAGGUUAUCAAGGUGACAGGUGGUGCAUGGUUGUCGUCAGCUCGUGUCGUGAGAUGUUGGGUUAAGUCCCGCAACGAGCGCAACCCUUGUCUUCAGUUACCAAUAUCAAGUUAGGGACUCUGGAGAGACUGCCGGUGAUAAACCGGAGGAAGGUGGGGAUGACGUCAAAUCAUCAUGCCCCUUAUGGCCUGGGCUACACACGUACUACAAUGGCUGUUACAACGUGAAGCAACACUGUGAAGUGAAGCGGAACACUGAAAGACAGUCUCAGUUCGGAUUGAAGUCUGCAACCCGACUUCAUGAAGCUGGAAUCGCUAGUAAUCGAGGAUCAGCAUGCCGCGGUGAAUACGUUCUCGGGC